GCAAACUUGGUCAUUUAGAGGAAGUAAAAGUCGUAACAAGGUUUCCGUAGGUGAACCUGCGGAAGGAUCAUUAAAAAUUUCUUUGCCCGCGGACCUUGGAGUCCAAGGCGUAAAACUCACACUGUGUGCACUGUUAUCGUUCUUUUGGCAGGAGCUUGGGGUGUCUUCCAACUUGGGAACCUCAACUUCUUCUCUGGCUCUAUCCACCUCGGACAGCUGGACAUGAGAAGCAGUUACCCUGCCAAGCGACCCUUAAAACACACUUUUUGUCUGAAAUGUAUCUUUCUUUUUUUGCGAUUGUAUGCGCAAUAAAUAAAACAUAACUUUCAACAACGGAUCUCUUGGCUCUCGCAUCGAUGAAGAACGCAGC
rnacentral:misc_RNA from 1 species